rnacentral:lncRNA from 1 species
AUGAUGAUACAAAUGUAGAGUAAUCAAGUGACUCGCCUAUUUGAGUUAUGUUGUUGAUUGUUGCUAAUGCUGACCCUGAUGUGCAAACCAUGGCAAGAAACAACAACCAAUAGUUGAUUGUGCUCAUUGCAUGUAGCAGAUUCAUUUCAACUUCAUUUUGAUCCUCUAAAGUCGUGAUCAAUGGGGCCAUGACAGGGGAUGGUGGUCGUUGUUCGCUUCUUUGAGCUGUGAGGGCUACUUGAAGAGGUGAUAAUGCCAUAAUCAAAAGAAUUGUUGUUGUGAGAAUGUGAGCCCAGGAUGGAAGUGUAAAGAUGUUUUGAAAGAUGAGUACGAUCAUUAGAUAUGUAGCAAUAAUGAGCGCUAUCAAUGAGAAGCGAUUCAAAUGAGGUUUAUCAUUGCUUGUGUUUGAUGGGUUUAUGUGAACGAGAGACAUGAAUGCGAGAGACACUAGUGUUGGAAAUACAGCAAGCAUGAGUAAGUAGGUGGUUGGUUUGUUGUCAAAUAGCGUGUAGUAGAUUUGAAUUAAUAUUGCUCCGCUUAGCCCAAAGAAAC